CAACCCUCGAGCCCCUAAGGGGGGUCGGCGUUGGGGAUCGGCUGAGCCCUCGACGGCUCUGCCGGCCCCGAAAUGCAGUGGCGGUCUCGCCGCAGCCUCUCCUGCGCAGUAGUUUGCACACUCGCAACGGGAGCGCGGCGCGACCACGGCCGUAAAACAACCCAAACUUCUGAAA
rnacentral:misc_RNA from 1 species